rnacentral:lncRNA from 1 species
GCUGCAAUACCCUUCUAUUGCAUUCUGCUUAGUCCCCUCCAUGCCAUUCUUCACAUUAAUUCACAAUAAUUCAUUUACAGAAUGAAUCUUUUAGAAACUACUAAAAUCAGAAUACCCCUCAUACACACAUCAAGCCUAACUUAGAAAUUUUCUCUGGCUACAAACUGGUGAUUGCCAGAGAGGAGGUGGGUGGUGGGAUGGGUGAAAUAGAAAAAGGGUAUUAAAAGUACACUUAUCGGGGCACCUGGGUGGCAUAGUCGGUUAAGUGUCCAACUCUUGGUCUCUGCUCAGGUCACGGUCUCGCUGUUCGGGAGUUCGAGCUCUGCAUUGGGCUCUGUGCUGAUGGUGCAGAGCCUGCUUGGGAUUCUGUCUCCCUCUCUUUCUUCCCCUCCCACAUGUGUGUUCUCUCUCUCUCAAAAUAAAUAAACCUUAAGAACAAAUUUUUUUAAAACUUAAAAACAAAGUACACUUAUCAUCAAGUGCACUGAGUAUUAUAGAGAAUUAUUGAAUCACUAUAUUGGAUACCUGAAAAUGAUAUAACACUGUAUGUUAAUUAUGCUGGAAUUUCAAAAAAAAUAAAUAAAAUAAAAAUUCACAUUUUUCUGUGGCUCCCCAUCACCCCAAAGACUUACUCAAUGUGUACUCUAUCUCAAGUUUGGGCCAGAGAGCUCUGCGUGUGUGACCUGUACCCCCAGGAAGCUCCAUUCACUCUUCUUGUUGUACCCUGUUCCUCCUUCCUCCUCGCUGGCUCUGCUCUCAUCACCCAGAUUCCCCUGCCUGAAACUCUCCUCCCCCCUGCUCUGUCACAUUGUUUCCUACACACCUUUCAGCUCUUAACCCAUACUGGCUCCUGAGGGAUGCUUGAGGAGGACCCUCCUAGCCCUGGUUGGGCCAGAUCCCCAUGUUCUAAACUCCCUUGGCAAAGUCAGCCAGCUCAUGAACCCUUCAUGGAACGUAUCAUAGGACAUCCACACAAUCUUGUAUGAUUGUUUCAUUUCUGCCUGUCUUCCCACUAGACUGUAAGAUCCAUGAAGGUAGCAACCUGUCUCUUUUUGCUUAUCACUGUGCUCCAGAGCCUAGCACAGUUUCUGGCACAUUUUAG